rnacentral:rRNA from 1 species
CAAGCAGCCACGGUAAUGCGGAGGGAGCUAGCGUUGUUCGGAAUUACUGGGCGUAAAGCGCACGUAGGCGGCUUUGUAAGUCAGAGGUGAAAGCCUGGAGCUCAACUCCAGAACUGCCUUUGAGACUGCAUCGCUUGAAUCCAGGAGAGGUGAGUGGAAUUCCGAGUGUAGAGGUGAAAUUCGUAGAUAUUCGGAAGAACACCAGUGGCGAAGGCGGCUCACUGGACUGGCAUUGACGCUGAGAUGCGAAAGCGUGGGGAGCAAACAGGAUUAGAUACCCCAGUAGUCCCUGUCUCUUAUA